UACGGAGGGUGCAAGCGUUGUCCGGAAUUAUUGGGCGUAAAGGGCUCGUAGGCGGUCUGUUGCGUCGGGAGUGAAAACUUACAGCUUAACUGUGAGCGUGCAUUCGAUACUGGCAGACUUGAGGCAUUCAGGGGAGAACGGAAUUCCUGGUGUAGCGGUGAAAUGCGCCGAUAUCAGGAGGAACACCAGUGGCGAAGGCGGUUCUCUGGGAAGGUCCUGACGCUGAGGAGCGAAAGUGUGGGGAGCGAACAGG
rnacentral:rRNA from 1 species